GACGUAGGAGGCGAGCGUUAUCCGGAUUCACUGGGCGUAAAGCGCGCGCAGGCGGAUUGGUAAGUCUGAUGUGAAAGCUCCCGGCUCAACUGGGAGAAGCCAUUGGAUACUGCUGAUCUUGAGACACUUAGAGGAGAGUGGAAUUCCCGGUGUAGUGGUGGAAUGCGUAGAUAUCGGGAGGAACACCAGUGGCGAAAGCGGCUCUCUGGGAGUGUUCUGACGCUGAGGCGCGAAAGCGUGGGGAGCAAACCGGAUUA
rnacentral:rRNA from 1 species